AGUAAAUUGGUUAAGUUAGAAAGGGCGCACGGUGGAUGCCUUGGCACUAGGAGCCGAAGAAGGACGGGACUAACACCGAUAUGCUUUGGGGAGCUGUACGUAAGCGUUGAUCCAGAGAUUUCCGAAUGGGGGAACCCACUAUCUUUAGUCGGAUAGUAUCCUUACGUGAAUACAUAGCGUGAGGAAGGCAGACCCAGGGAACUGAAACAUCUAAGUACCUGGAGGAAGAGAAAGAAAAAUCGAUUUCCUGAGUAGCGGCGAGCGAAACGGAAAGAGCCCAAACCAAGAAGCUUGCUUCUUGGGGUUGUAGGACACUCUAUACGGAGUUACAAAAGAAAGUUAUAAAUGAAGCGGUCUGGAAAGGCCCGCCAAAGACGGUAACAGCCCGGUAGUUGAAAUGGCUUUCCCUCCAGAGUGGAUCCUGAGUACGGCGGAACACGUGAAAUUCCGUCGGAAUCCGGGAGGACCAUCUCCCAAGGCUAAAUACUCCCUAGUGACCGAUAGUGAACCAGUACCGUGAGGGAAAGGUGAAAAGCACCCCGGAAGGGGAGUGAAACAGUUCCUGAAACCGUGUGCCUACAAGUAGUUAGAGCCCGUUAA
rnacentral:rRNA from 1 species